CGCAUCUGUGCAUGCAGCAUAUCAAUAAGCGGAGGAAAAGAAACUAACAAGGAUUCCCCUAGUAACGGCGAGUGAAGCAGGAAGAGCUCAAAUUUGAAAUCUUAAAGGGUUUCCCUUUACGAAUUGUAGUUUAAAGAAGUGUUUUCUGUUGAGGUUUUGGUAAAAGUUCUUUGGAAUAGGACAUCAUAGAGGGUGAGAAUCCCGUAUUUGACCUUUACUUUCAACUUUGUGAUACACUUUCAAAGAGUCGGAUUGUUUGGGAAUGCAGUCCAAAAUGGGUGGUAAAUUUCAUCUAAAGCUAAAUAUUGGCGAGAGACCGAUAGCGAACAAGUACCGUGAGGGAAAGAUGAAAAGGACUUUGAAAAGAGAGUUAAACAGUACGUGAAAUUGUCAAAAGGGAAGCGUUUGACACCAGUGUUGUUUUUCUGAAAAUCAAUUAAAGAACUGUUUAUGCUAAGCUGUUUAGACUUUAUCAGCUAUCUGUUUAGUUUUGAGCUUUUCUUUAAUGCACUUUUCAGUUAACAAGUCAACAUCAAUUUCUUUUGCUGUAAAAAAGCUUGAGGAAGGUGGCUUGAGAUUCGUCUUAAGUGUUUAUAGCCUCUUGCCUAUGCAGUCGGAGAGAUUGAGGUCUGCAGCGUAGAUCCUUCGGGGCUAAAUGCAUUUGUGCUAAGUUAUAGGCAUUUUAUAGACAACUUGUUGACUAUGAUUUGUCUUGUAGCUUACUCGCUUAUGUUAUUUUACCUACGCUUAGGAUGUUGAAUCUGUGCGAGACUAC
rnacentral:rRNA from 1 species